GACGAACGCUGGCGGCGCGCUUAACACAUGCAAGUCGAACGGAAAGGCCUGCUUUCCCUUGUGGCUUGCGGGUACUCGAGUGGCGAACGGGUGAGUAACACGUGAGUGAUCUGCCCCCGACUUGGGUAUAAGCCUGGGAAACUGGGUCUAAUUACCGAUAGGACUGCAGGAUGGUGCCGGUGUUGGAAAACGAUUUUCUAGUGGUUGGGGAUGAGCUCGCGGCCUAUCAGCUUGUUGGUGGGGUAAUGGCCUACCAAGCCGGCGACGGGUAGCCGGCCUGAGAGGGUGCACAGCGGCACUGAGACAGGGACACGGCCCAGACGGGUGCGGGAGGCAGGAGUGGGGGAUAUUGGACCAUAGGCGGAAGCCUGCCGCAGCGACGCCGCGUGGAGGAUGUCGGAGUUCGAGUUGUAAUUUCCUGUGGACCGCGAGGAGGACACUUGGUUGGAAGGGUGGUGACGGUAGUGGAAGAAGAAGCACCGGCUAACUACGUG
rnacentral:rRNA from 1 species